AAAAAAAAGAAUCAGUUCAAAGUAUACUGGGGGAAAAGAUUAUGGUUUUGCAAUUAUGGUUAACAAAAUCUUUAUCUUGAUAUUCCAAGGGGAACCCUCACCUCAUCCCAGAGAAUCCAUGCUGGCUGCAAUGAAAGUAACCACACACAUUUUUCAGUUUGAGUAUGCACUAAAGAUGAAGGGUGAAUGUCAUGUGUUCAUCACACAUUUAAGCAAAAUCCUCAAAAUAUACCAAAGAAAGUUUGGUUUGGCUACAAAGCUUCUUAACAUGAAUGACUAAAUACACACCCUAAAAAGCCCACUGACCUCUUGGGUAGAUUAUUGGCUCAUGAGCUAUCUCAACUGCUGCUCAUGGAGCCAGAGUCUGUUCCAGCACACUGCCAAAAACAAUCUAUUUCUGCUCCAAACCUACCAAUUAUUCUAACUGGUCAAUCAAUGUGUCCUGUUGAUCACAUUCACAUUACAAGACUCAAAGGCUAUUUUCCAAAACAUUAAGCUGUUCUUUGCUAUCCUUUUAAUGGUGGUGAGCACCCCUCCCUUAUAUUUUAGUUCAACUUCUGCCAAGUUUCAAUUAACCUAAACUAAAGAAUAAUGGUUAUUGUGCUUUAAUGUAUAAACUGUCUUGUCUACAUUGAUGUAUUGUGUUGCUCUGAAGAGGUCCAAUGUGGCCUCUCAGAAACAAACACAAAGAAAAAGGGAAAAUCAUUACUGUGAAUGCCAACAUCUUAAAUACAGAAUCAUUAGAAGAAAAAAAGAGAUGUAUAUAUUAAGGAGCAGUGAACACUUACUGCCUUAUCAGAAUGAUCAUAGUAAUAAUUCUAAUAAUGAGAUUAAUAUUCGGAAUAGUGACACACACACUACUAUCUAUAGUCAAAAUAAGCAACUCAUUCCCCAUUGCAUACUCAAGGCCAAGGUACCAAUUUUUCUGAUGUUUGAUUAUACCAAAUAUUGUAUAGCUGAACAUAAAAAUUUUGGUUAAUGGAGAUGUAAUACAAUAUUUAAUACAUAUCAUAACAUAUAUUAACAGUGCAUAAGUAUAAUUUCAUUUUAUAUUUCCCAAAAAGUAAAAUGUUCAAAGAAAAUUCCUCUCUUCUAUAUUACCCCUCCAUUUUCUUUUGACAAUUAUCCCUGUUCCAUCUCUAGUUCACAUACGGACUGUGCAACCAUGUAUUGAAACAAGGAAGAAAACAGCCCAUAUAUCUAAAGAUGAAAAUAGACUCUGAAGUUCCAUAUAUCACUAAUAUUUUUACAUUGACUCUUCAAACAUAUUCAAGGAAAAAGCCUUUAGAAUCUUAAUCAGUUUUAAUUACUUUCUACAUAAAUAUAUACUAGUCAUUAUCACGUAAACAGUAAUCAGACAUGCACUUCCACACAGAAAAGUCAAUUGUUUCCACAGACUUCCUCCAUCCAAUCCUACUGUUUAAAUAAUCAUGAUACCAUGGCUUUCACUUACAGUUCUUGCCUAUGCUGUCCCAAAAGCUAGAGUUCAUUUUCCUUUUACCCCAGGGAAUAUACAGACUGGAAACACAUCGUCGGUAAAGCAAAGCAUUUUUGAACUCAGAGAAUUCUUUUCCCUAAGAAUUUCAGCAUGUUAAAAAUGACUUGAGAUUCCUCCAAAGAAAACACAUGCCAUGACCUGAGAGGUCAGGAUAGACUAUCCACAGACACAAAAGGCCACCAGAAUUAAGUGUGCAAAUCUUCUUCCUUUCAGUUGGUGAUGCUCUUUACAAAGAGAUGACUCUGCUUUACCUUAAUUUUUUUUUUUUUUUUCUGUCAGGUCUGUAUUGGAAUCAUAAAAUCUCUGUUCCUUACUUUGGGCACUUUCCAUUUUAUUAGGCACUUUCAUGCAUGAGUUUUUAGUCAGUGUUUGAGGUUUAAAAAAAAAAGUCUAAUAUGUGUUUCAUAUCCUCUAAAUUUUUGUGAGCACACAGAACAUUUAAAAUAAAAGUUUAUAGCAAAGUCCCAGAGAUAUAAAGUUGGCAUAUUGUGUUUCUGAGCACACAGCUACGUUUACUCUUCUUCCCAUGCCCAACACUGUCAAAGAUGAAAAUCACUUUAGUGAAUAAAAGAAAUCCCUCUUUCUGAAUUAAAAUGAAAAUGGAAUCAGAAAAUUUACUAACAGAAAUGUGUUAUUCAAAUGUAUUUGAAGCAGAGUAUAGCAAGAUUUUUAUUUCUAGAAAUGCCCCAUAUGACAAAACCAAACCACACAAUAGGACACUUUUUUCUCGCCAGGCUUCCUUGGAAAGGCUCAAGUAUUUUCCAGCAGGCACUUUUCUUUCACAUUUCUGCUAUUUUGUGUUAUUUUCUCUGCCAAUGCAAGCAAAAGGGGCCAUGGAAAAUUCCAGAAGAAAAUCAUUAAAUGAAGACACAGCAGGUCAGUAAUAAAUAUAGGCUUUAUAAAAUGUAAACAGCACUGGCUACAAUCAAAUAUAAUUAGAUUAUAAGCAUUCUUUUCAGUUCACACAUGGAGAAAAGUGUAUUUUUAGGUAAAUGCCUAUGAUUUAGCAAACACAAAAGUUAAUAUAUAGAUUAAACUUUGCCACAUUUGAAACAUUAAAUGUAAUGAAGUUGCAUUGUAUAAUCCUUUUUGGCAUUUACUACAGCAAACCCAUUAACCAAUAGGCUAAAGGCAUGUGUAGAUUCCCAAUAUAUUUUUUCUAUAUACAAGCGUACAAACCCACUUAUGUAAGUAUUGGUACUUUUCUAGGGUAAUUAAAUACCAUUAUGACAAAAAAGUCUUCUCACGAUUUUGUAAACAUGUGCUUCUUAGAGAAAUUUUGUAUCUAUCAAUAAUACUAUGUUUUGGCAAAAAUGAUAUUCCCCUCAUCCCCCAUGUAACAUUUCUAUGCUUUUGAAAGAUAAAAUGUAAAUGAUCUGAAGCAUCAGGGUACUAAGAUAAUCAUUCAACAAGGCAAAAUAUUCAGUGUAGUAAACCUCUUUACGAGACUGUAGUAGUUGGAGAUGAAAUUGUAAAUGGGGAAGUGUAGAUUGCUUUGAUUUAGAAAAUCGUUGCCAUUAAACAGUUUACAAAGAGCCUACUGUUUCUGCAUCAUUAUCCUGGAUGUGUCAAAGUCAGCAUUUUCACAAUAUUUAAAGCACUCCCAACUUCCUCAUAAAUAUCAUUUAUACUCCUGCACAGUCAUUCAGCAUAUCUAAGGAUAUCAUUUACAGUCUUCUGUAGUUACACAGUAGGAUCACCUGAGCCAAUGCAGGUGAACAUGAAAUAAAGAUAUAGAGGAGGGCAAAAUUCUCUCCCAGCAGAAUCAUGGAGAUCAUGGAAUUGUACCGCCAAAUUUGAUCCAGGACUAAGCACACUGUGUUCCUUUGUGUGUGGAAAGUAGCCCAGAAGGUCAGCCGGGCCUGAUGUGUACAGUCGCAUGUUACUACACAGCAAAUCAAUUUCAGAUGAGCAGAUGGGCCCACAUUCCAGCAUUGCCAUUUAUUUUUCUUUAUAUACUUUGUGUUCCAAGAGGCCUCUCUUGCUUGUAAGAAAACAGAAACCAACCCAGAAUUGUCUUUUCCUAUCUUUCUGUCCAUUCAAAUCCCAACAGAACCAUUUCAAGCCACUACCUCCCACAAGCAGCAGCUGCUCCAGGUGACACUGCUCAUAGCAUUCUCUGAAAUUUUCUAGCAUUGAUCAGUAUAGGAAACACCAAUUUUGAUAGGUAGUCUUAUAUAACCUUCAGAUGACUCUUUCAAGACAUUCUUGCAUAGGUUAACAACUUAAAGCUGCAAGAACGAUAAAACCAGUCCUUAAAUAGAAUUUUAAAACAAAUUCAUUUAUGUUCAAAACAGCAAAUCUGAAGAACUGUAUAAAGUAUCUUUUUGUUUCUGAGGCUCUGAAAACCAAAUGAUAGCUAACAUAUAAGAGAGAAUACCACAAGCCCUGGGGCUGAAAGAACAGAAGGCUGUAGUAGCCACAAAGUGAAAGGGAAUCACUUAGCAAAGAUGAUUUUUAGUUUCUUCAUUAAAGCUAGAUUUCUUCAAGUAGCAAAUGUAAAAGCUGAAUGGGUUACAAAGAAAAUGCCAAACUGGGAUACAUUUCCCAGAUAAACGGAUGACUUAUUUUACUUAUUAAGCCCUCUUACAAAACAUCAAGAAAAAAAACCAAAACCUCAAUAAAAAAGAUAAGCUAUAAACCAAAUUAAAAGAGGACUGUGUGUUAUACAAUGAAAGUAUUCAAUAUUAAGUGAUCAAUGAAAUCAGAUGUUUUACAAGAUAUUUAUUAUUUGCCCAUCAGGUUAACAAGGAUUAAAAUAGAAUGAUGACUUCUAAUGUUUUUCUCAAGCAACAAGAACAAGACAUAAAAAUACACAGGUGGUACAAUUUAAAGUAUGAUUCCUUUCAUUCUAUUAUACAAAUUUGAGGCAAGAAAGAACAAAGAGAGGAGAGUUCAAUAGACCAGAGGAGAAACAGUUGAGUCCUCACCAAAAAUAAUUUGUAUCUUAAUACACUACAACAUUGAUUCUCCCAGUACGGUCCCCAGACCAGCAGCGUCACUAUCAUCCAGGAGCUUAUCAGAACCACAGAUCCUUAGGGCUCAUCUCAGAACUACUGAAUCAAACUCCAGGAGUAGGUCCAGAAUUUGUGCUCUAAUAAGACCUCCCCAUGAUUCUGAUGCACACUAAACUUAAGAAACCACUGCUUAGAAGACUAUAGCUUGUAUAAAAUGUAGCAGAGGUAUUUGUUUAAAAUGCUCUGCAUUCUAGCAGUCAGAGACGAGAUGUCAUAAUAUCUGCAGCAUACUUUGAAAUAGCACAAUAACAAUAUCUCCCUCUAUGUUAGAUAUAUGUAGAGAUGGGAAUGUUCACCAAAUUGUUAACUAGCACGGAAUCUAAAUGGAGGUUACAGAGCACAGUGUCUCCCCUGAGCUAGUAAGGUAGUAGGUCUAUACCCAGGAAUCUGACCAGGAUAGGUUCGUGCCCAGGAAUCUGGGUUUUUAUCAAGUAUCCCAGGUUUUCUUUAGGCUGGUGGUUUACACCACUUUACCAAAUGUUAUUUAAGAAACACUACUCUAGACAUCUUGAGUAUUUCUUAGUAAAUGAUGAUGGGGCCUAGCAGACAUCUGUCCCUAAAUGUGCAAGCAGCUUCUAAGAUUUGACAGACCAAAUCUGUGGGUGGUUCUAUCUGUACUCCCACUAUCUUUUCGAUGGUGAAUUCCCAACAACUGACCUGAUGACUCCUGUUUUCCCACACAUAUUACAGAAGACCAUGCCCAACAUCUUUUAAAUCACAAGGUGACAUGACAAGCAAUUCUAUAAUAUUAUGUGAUCACUCAGUAGAGGAUCAAAUCCCACAUGAUGAAUAGGAAUGAGCACUGGAGGCAGGAAAGCAUUCUUCUCUUUCAGUCUGUCCCCAAUGCAAAUUCUGACUUACCUGGGAUUCUGGGGUAACGGGAAAGGUCCAAACUCAAAGACCUGGAUCACUGAGUUUUAUAUUAUUUACAAGAUCCUGCAUGUGAGUUACAUUGGGCCCUAUGAAUUCUACAAAGGGCUUUGUUCCGACAGCAAAUAACCAGGGGGAGAAAUCACUUAAAUGCAUCCAUGGUAAGUAUUUUUCAGAUGUUAUAAGAUUGUUACCAAGGAACCUUAAAAAAAAAUGGGAGAAAAAAAGACGACCUAUAUUCUACAGUAUUGGUAUUGAUACUGUGAAGCAUGCCAUUUAGACUACUGUGAAAUUGAGUAUUUGACAUUUUGCCCUAUUCUUCCCAAAUAUAAAAAUGUUGCAAAAAGAACUGCAUGGUUAUUGCAUAAACCACCUAUAAACAUCUUUUCCUUAGUGUGUCUCAUAAAGCAGAAUGAACUAUGACCACCUCAUUUUUGAAAAAAAUUAGCUGGUUGCUGCCAUGUUUCACUAUUAAUUCCAUUUGCAUAAACUAUGUGCCACAUCUCUGGUCACUUGUUAAUAAGAUGUUUUGCUAGUAGUUCUUUCUUCCUUCAAAGAUGUAUCUUUUCUGCCUGAUUUACAUAAUUAUUAAGCAUCUCCACUUCCUUAUAAGUACUUGCAUAAAGGUUAUAUCAAGAUGGCAGGCUGAAAAGUGUUUUAAAAUGGUAAAAGAGAAGAGGGAGAAGAUUCGAUCACUGCGAAUAUAUCCAAUUAUCAGUUCAAUCAACUUUAAAUUUGUCGCCAUUGAAAAACAAAACAAAACAAAACAACCAGCUCCUUCCUACGCCCAUUCUGGUUUUGGCUGUUCUGAUCACUACUGUAAAUGUGAAAGGAUAUCCGAGUGAUAGGUCAGCCAAGAAUUAAAAUCCAUGUUACAUGGAACUCUACUCGAAAAGAAUUUUUAAGUAGGUCAUGCCUUUUUUUCCCCAUAGAUAUCAAAAAUGAGUGACAAGUGUCCUAAAUUGCAUAUAAUUAGUUUUGAGGAUUUAUAAAAAUUUCUAGAUUAUAAUGGAAAAAUUCUAAAUUAUUCCAAUAUGAAUAGAAGAGUUCAGAGAUUUUGCUCUGAGUAUUAGAUCUCACCAAAAUUGAAUGAUAUCUUUGUGAUUUAGCUGUGUCAACAUCAGCUAUUGGAACAGGUGAAUAUCAUAGAUAACUGCUAUUACAAUAGUCACAGGGCAGGGUAUGUUCCUAGUUCUUAAAACUAACUACUUUUAAAGUAGGGAAAAUUAUAUUCAGUUUAGAUUCCUUAAAAGUAACCACUUUUAAAGUAUGAAAGAUUAAAUUCAGAUUAGAUUUCUGAAAAUAUCUUUUACUCUCAGGUAAGUGAAUGUCAGAAGAACAGAUUUUUGACCAAAAUAUGUUUCACCCAUCUAACAUUAGAUUUGAAAGUUUGGGCCCCUGAGCUUCAAGGCUAGAAAUAAACCAACAAAUCCUUAUAUCCUCGUUUCUGUGACUAUUAUGAAAAUCUCAACUUUAAGGUCAUCAAGUAAGAGUGCUCAUUGUUCUCCAUGUUUUGCACACAAUGGGUACAUGUUCAGUUUCUUCUCCCAGUCAUAUAUCCCAAGUGACCAAAUAAAUUGCAAAGAGGUGAACAAUGAAUUCUGGACUGGGUGCCAGAGACAAGGGAGAGAUGAUUUUUCUGUAAUUUGCAAAUGGAAGAUUCCAAACCUUCCCUUUAACCAGAUAUACUUUCUCCAAUGUUUUCAUCCAUACUCUAUAACUUCCCUUUGAACCCUCAAGCACACGAAACUAGUGACCAUAUUCCAAGUAAGGUAAUUAGUUCUCAAAUAAAGACCUAUGGAGAAAUAACAACUCUGAUCCACACAGAGCCAAGUGCUAUGUUGCUGGAUCUGCCCCUCAACAGUUUACAGUCUUCCUCCAUGAGUCGGUACUGGAUGUCCAGCAUCAAGACAUUCCUAAGAAUAUAUCUGUUUACAGUCGUAUAUUCCUGCUAUCAGACAGAGAAGUUUUCUAGACUAUUGUGACCAAGUAAUUUUGUGUAUUUUCAUGGGAAUGGGGGCAGACAAGGGUUCAUGAGAAAAUCCUCUUCCCAUCAUCUGGUCCUGUAACAGUGAAGCAAGAAAAGAACAUAACUAACUCCAUUUUUGUUUAAGGGGCCUUUACCCAUUCCUGAACAUAGACUAGGAUAAUUUUAGAGCAGUGAGAUAAUAUGCAAAAAUAGCAAUCAUGUAGUUUUUAAAACUAGCUCUGAAUUAAAGGAGACGUGUGUAAACCAACAAUGUUUUGUUAAAGAUUUGUAGAGUCACUGUAACCUGACCAAGGACAAAGAAGUUCUCAGGCUCCUGGGACCCUCACUGGCACCCAGUUUCUUUUUGAUCUCAACCGCUUCCUCUUCCUACUGACCUUAAGUUAAAAAGAUCCUAAAAUCAUACUGACUCAAGAUGGUGCUUUGGAACAAUAGUCCACCAUCUUCUCAGUGUGCUGGUUCCCCAGAUAAACCUGCUUUUCCUCUGAACAACUCUGUCUUCUGGAGUUCUUGCUUUUGAGAGGUGAGCAUUGGAACCUGGAUUUGGUUACAGUACCUGUCUUCCAAGCUAGACAUGUUCUUCUACUCUGACACACUAUCCAUGCAGCAGCAGCACACAAGGAAUUCAGGUCUCCUAAAUGCUCAACACACAUCCAUGUUUCCACGCCUCCAUAUAUUCUAUUUUUUCUUCCUGAAAUUCCCUUGUACCUUUUGAUGCCCUGGAUAACUAGUCUUUCUUCAAAUCCCAAAUCAUACAUCAUUUUCUCUAUAAAGACUUCCCUUUGAUCAUAAACGGACAGAUGGAGAGGAAAUAAGGAGUCCUACUACAUUUUAUAUUUUACUGGAUAUGCCACCAUGUUCAUGACCUCAAAGUAUUAAAAUUAAUCACAUCAUAUAAGACUUAUUUGCUUAUUUAUCUUUUCCGUCAUUUUAUUAACAAGUAGGAUUGGUUACUAUGGGGAAAAUAAAUGUUUUAUUUUUAUUCCCGGAUCUUAUAUACCAUUAACCACUCGAUUAGCUCUCAAUAGGGAAGGAAGAAGGAAUGUAUAGAUUCCUUUAUAUAUUUGUACUGUACUUUGUAUUCAAAGGUAGAGUUAGGUCCCGAAGCCAAUAUACUUUGGACUACAUCAAACUAUUAGAUGGACGUUUUCUCGAAGUCCUCUUUUCUUUUCCAACUAAGUUAUCAGAAAGCCAUUUUAGGCAUAAAACUAUGUUAUAGAAAGUAGAUUCAGAUAUCUCCUUUGAAGUGAUAUUCACUAUAAUGCCCUAUAUGAGUGAAAACAGCAUCCCCAAGGUACAUACAGGCUUACAUCAAGGGAACCUAGAGUAGAAUUAAAUAUCUAGUAGCUUUCAAGGGCCUGAUCCUGAGAAGGUGAGGAAUUGAAUUCAGGGCAGAAGUUGGUCAGGGUGCAUUUAACAAGGCAAGUCAGGGCUGGUGCAUGGAAAACAUAGACUGAGGCAGAAGCCAGAAGGCCAGGAAGAAGGAAACUGGCAGGGGUGAAAGCUGUGAGCAAACUGGAAUGUGUCUAAAAGUGAGCCAGGAAGAAAAGCACAGUGAAGUCAGAGAUGGGAGCAGAAUCUCUUCCCCUCUACAAGCCUUCCUCUGUGCCACUGGCCAGAUGCCAGUCCUGCAACGGGCAUUCAGUACUCUGGUCUCUAACAGAAAAUCUCCAUGGUCACUGAAAAAUCUCAGUAUAAGUAUACACCUACUUCUCCUUGGAUCAGAAGAGCUGGUUCUCAAAUCUAUCUCAGUGAAUCAAAUGAAUCAAGCAUUAUGGGAAACAUACUCACUGGCUUCUCUUGCUUUACACACACACACCACCCCCCACCCCCAGAAAAACCAAAACUGGCUUAAAUGAACAUUGCUGAAAAUAUCACUGAGUUUUAAGCAUAUAGUCACACUUGUCAAUUAUUAGUUGUUCAACAUAAAAGAAAAAAAGAAAAAAAAAAACAACAACCCUGAAGAAUAGCAAAUUUGACGAUUUGAACAAAUUUCCCUGUAGAGAGACUGGCAUUGGGAGCCUAUUCUGUUAGAAUUUCUGGUGCAAUUUCUACAUCCUAACUGGUCACUUACUUCUCCAGAAAUUAGGUUGAAAAAAACCACAGACAUUAAAGACGGCCAAGGAAUGAAAGUUGCAAGGCUUCAUUUUGAGUUUCCUUUUCAAACCUUGAAGUAGGACUCUGAUUAUGAAUACUGUAUAAUAAUUUUAAUAUAAUCAUUUGCAUCCUGAAAACAUUUUAAAGCAAUGAGAAAGCAAAAGGAAAAUUAAAUUUUUACUGUAUGCCAACCAAUUUUGAUAAUGCAGAAGUGAAAUAAUGUCACAAACACAAACCUUUAAUAAUUUAUAACUUUGAUGGUAAUAACUAAAAAUAUGAUUAUCACUUUAGAAAUGUUGAAAUUAAACCAACAAUUUACUUUCUUGGCUAUCUGAUUCUUUUUUUUCUUGAAAACGAGAAAGAAAUAGAGUCAGUCUAUAGUUGCAUAGAAAGAGACUUUUAUGGUUUUUCUAACAAAGAUAAUAAGAAGUUGAGUUUGCUUGAGAGAAAACAUUCCAGCUACUUACUGAAAGGAGCAAAAUUCAAUGUGUGCUUCAUACCACAGUAGAAUGCUAAGAAGAACUGCCCACAAAUUGGGGCAUGUUCUCUUAACUCGGUAGGAAAAGCUGACUGCUUUCUUGAUAACUGCAAGCUGAAGUCAACAUAUGUACCACCCAGGCAGAUCCACUGAAUAGCAUAAAUGUGUAAGUAAAACGUCACUAGGGAUCCAACAUUAUUUUUUUAUGUCAGAAUGGAAACAAACAAACAAACAAACAAACAAAACCACUUUGUUUAAAGGCAAGAUCUAAAUAAGACACUGCCAAGUAAGUUUCCUCUGUCUCUAAGAAUCCUCAAAUAAAAUAACCAAUUUUUAAUAGAAAAGAUUAGAAACAAUCUUGGAAACUCCUAUCAAAAACUAAGGUCUUGCGUACUAGUAAGGAGUGACAUUGCGAUGGAGGUUGGGGGAGGGAUAAAAAUAUAUUGAAGAUGUUGGUGUCUCUUCAAGUGUAUAUCAGAAAAAGACAACAUUAAGAUCAUUCAGUAGUUAAAGUCUAUGAUGUAUUAUAUCAGAAUUUAUAACCACUGCAGGAUUUCUAAAUCAUUACUCUCCGAUGAUGGGGUCAGCAUUUUGAAUAUUACUCAGGGAAAAUAAGAUGUAUAAAUAAAUAAAUAUGAAAAAUACAAAUGAUAGUCCUGACAAAACUAUUUCAGGGUAUAUAAUAUAGCAACUGCUUGCUGGCAUCUGUUCAUCCAGCAUCCAGCUGUUAGUGGAAAGACUGAAAUCAGGUGACAAUUUAAGUGCCACCAUGAUGGUUAAUUUCAUAUAAGACGGUGCUGAGCAGAAAAGAAAAUCCAAAACAACAGUAAAAACUAAAAAUAAAGAAGAAGAAAAAAAAUACUUCUUUGGUCUGUCUGGGCUUUGUGUUUGAAAAAUCAUCUCCUCCAGGGAGGAUUCUUUAAGUACUAUUCCACAGUUGAAAGGAAAAAAAA